rnacentral:lncRNA from 1 species
CACCCUCUCUCUAGAAUUAAUCAAUAAAUCUUUUGAAAAUCUUUUUACAUAAAAAAAAUAAAUAAAAGGAUCAUUUUUACAGCUGGCUAGUUGUAGUCACAGCAAUAGCCGAUGAGAAGUUGUAAAUAACAAAGACCCCCAGAUUAGAGGGGUGGGCUCUGGGGGCCUGGGAGGAAGGGGUAUGUGGAGUCAGUGUUGAGCAGAUACAGGGUUCAGAUCUGCAAGAAGAACAGGGUUUUGGACGCGGACGAUGGGAGCCAUCACCCGACAGAGUGACGGUACUUGAUGUCACUGAGCUGGUUACAAAGUGGCUACGGUGGUACAUUUUAUGUUACUGUGCAUUUUAACACAAGAAGAAAAAAGACAAUAGUAAGGAUCAUAAAUGUGUCCACGUCAAAAGACGACGAGACACUAGAUCUUUUCUCCAGGAUUGGAGAAAUUGUAAAUGAUUAAAUUGUAAAUCCCCGUGAUUGUAAAUCCACGGGGAGAUGCGAAGGGGCAGCGACAGGCAGAGGCCGACGGCACAGCUCUGGGGAGGCACAGCCACUUCCACACAGGACCGUGCGCUCUCCGAUGUGCUUCCCGCUGGCAGGGAGAACACAAGAUGGGAAGCAGGAGGGCGUCGGGAAGGCUCCCCAGAGACGCGAGGCGAGCAGGGAUUUAAUUUCUUCAUGGAGGGGACGCCGGGGUGGCUCAGCAGUGGAGCGUCUGCCUUCGGCUCAGGUCGUGAUCCCGGGGCCCUGGGAUCGAGUCCCGCAUCGGGGUCCCUGCAGGGAGCCUGCUUCUCCCUCUGUCUGUGUCUCUGUGUCUCUCAUGAAUAAAUAAGUAAAAUCUUUAAAUGAUCACAAUGAUUUCUUUCUGGAGGUGGAGGGCAGACAGCCCAGCCAUGCCGAGGUCGCCAAGGGAGCUUGGCUGCAGGGGACGGUGUGGGCAGACACUGAGUCACCGGCCUCACCAGUCUGUUCAUUUUCACUGAUGUGGGCCUUCGCCCCUGAAGGCCAGUGUUCAC